UAGAUGCCAACAUCAGCCCAAUCCACUUGAGAGGGUCAUCAGUCUCUCUUGACACCAGGUGUGCCAGUGGAGCUGGGGUUUGUCCAGAAACCUGACCUCUUGGGGUGAGUGUGCUAUUGUGGGGAGGUCUGUUCUGCUCAUGAUCUGGGUAGAGAGAUAGCAGCACCACUGAAGAUGGAAAGUAAUUUUUGUAAUAGGUAAGAAGGUAAAUGAUUUGUAAAGAGAAAAGGUAGAGCAGAUUAAGUAGACAUUAGGUAUAAUUCCUAUUUCCAAUUCUCUAUAUAGUUUUAUUCAGAGACCAUUUGAGUUUGGUCCAGACAAACGUGGCUCCCUGUCUGAGAACUGGGAUAAUCGCCCCAGGAUGAGGAAGUGCUACCUAAAGAGGUGGGGAGGCCUCAGCUGAAGCAAGGCUUGGCUAUUACAGGAUUAAUAUCCCUUGAUUUUUGCUUUCCCCAUCAAACGUGUAGGGAAAAGCUUGUGGUUAAUUAUCUGGGGGCUGGAAUUGUAAGUGACUGCAGAACAGAGAUGUGUGUACUUUCUCAAGCAGGUAAAAUGAUCAGAUAGAAGGCCAGGCAGGUGCUGUCACCUCGCCUGUUUCCAUCACCCAGUCCGCUGGGUGGCUCUACCCUGUUGGGUUUCCUCCCAACCUUCACAGGCAUGGGGUCUCAGGCCCCAGUUACUAACCCUCUUCCUGGGUUUGCUAAUAAUUAUCACCCAGUUCCAAAUGGGCACUGCAAUGGUCCCAUUUCCUUUAAUUUGUUCUGUAUUAAUUAUUAGAAUAUUUUGUUUUGUAAAGGGGAUGACUCAUCCAGCCCAGCAGGUUCAGAACUGGCCUGUUGGCAUUUGACUGAAAAGGGCUUGGUUUCCCAAUUCAGCCCAGUCCAUUGAGAAGGAUGUAUCAUUCUCUCCUGACAUCAGGUGUGGCAGGACCACUGCUGCCUGCCAGAGAACCUGACCUCCUGGGGCAGAGAUCUUGUCGGAGCUGCUGAGUCAGGGAGGUCAGCUCUGUUCAUGACCUGUGUGGACAAUGACCAGAGCUGACCAGCCCUACAGGCUGGAGUCCCGCAGGAGAGCUUCUGAGGCAAGGUCGUAGGUGACCUGCAGAACAGAGGCUCCUCUGCCAGAGGCCUCUGUAAACUCAGAUAAUCAGAGGAUGCCAAAAUGUUCUUCUAGAACACAGCUCAAAGUUUAUCACGGCACGCAAAGGAUAUUUCUGCUCAGCUUUGUCUCACUGUGUGUUUUUCCCUCUGCACUUUCUUAAACUUUUUACCCUUCUGGGUCAUUCUCUCUUAUAGUAGCUGCAUUUUUUUCUUGGAGUUUCUGCAUUUUUAUUCCAAGUUUGUCCUCGGCUCCUACUGGAAAUCCUAUGAAGCUUAAAGUUGUUGGAAUCACAGACCCGUGUGAUGGAGAAUGAAGUUGUUGGAUCUCCAAUGCAGAAGAUUCCCAUCUGCCGGCCUUGCUCUCACCGACGUUAUUCAGCCGCCUCCUGAUGUGUCCCCCCCUCUGGAUAUGCACAGCUGGCCUCCUCUUGGGCCCAACCUCGAGGGUUAUUUCCAGAUCUCGAUCUGAUUGUGUCACUUGAUUCUUGUAUUUCUCCUGUGGUUGCCUGUCCUUGUCCCCCACACCACACACUGGAGCUCCACUGUCUUGUCCCUGGCCCCCCGGGUCAGCUCCACCACCCGCCGGUUACCCAGUGGCAGAGCCAUUUAGGAGUUGUUAGAACACAGGCUGAUGUCUCCAUCCCCACACUUCUGCGUACUUUGUUCGCUUCCUGGACUCUCCAGUUCCAGACUCACCCCUUCCUGAGCUCCUCGGGAACUUGCUCAGACAUCCCUGCCUCUGGGAAGCCUUCUGACUCAUGGCAGGCCCAGCUAAUCCCUCCAUCCUCUUCCCCUGGCACCUGCACACCAGAACCAGCCCUGGGUGGUGACUUUAUUAUUUGCUCUCAUGCUGGCUCCCUGCUGCUGAGGCUGGAGACUGGGCCUUAUUUAUCUCUGUAAUCCCAGGCCUUGCAGAGAGCUUUGCCCACAGUAAUAAAUGAAUGACUACUUUUUUUUUUAAUGAACAAAUGAAUUAAACAGGAAUCUCAUUCCAUCCUUUGUUCCCAAAAAGAUGAACAUUAUCCAAGAACAAAGUUCCUCAAUUUUAAAAAAUCCAUGCCUUAUUUUGAGAAAGAGAAAAAUCAUUUUCUUUCCUCUGUUAUUGAAAUUCCAAAAUAAAUCAAAUUGUUUUUAAACCAAAUUAAAACAAUAGGGUUCGACAGGGCUUGUCCAAUCUCCAUGGACUGCCCUCUGUAGGGGACCACAUCCUCCUCCUGCCCUGAGAAUCAUUAUCCUGCUCAGGCCCCUGCUGCGUGGCUCUGGGCCAAUUCCAAGAAAGUCAAUUUUCUAAAGGUCAAUUGGGUUUUGGCAUUUUGGCCAUUUGGCAUUGACUCUGCAAGGUGGCCCCUGUCCCAUCAUAGAGCGCCCCAUGUGGGGAAGGCCCUGAGUCCAUCUGUCAAGCUUUCUCAGACCUGAAGUCUCUCUUAUUCACACAGAAAAGGCACUUUCAGAACUUCUGUAAACCCAGACUAGAAAAUUCCACAGGCUGGAAGUUACUUCUUGUAAUGACCUCAGUUCUUUCAUGUGAUGCUUUAAGUCAUUUCCCUUCGGUUCUGCCUGUGAAGAUGGAGAGAAACCAGCCUUACCCCGUGCCCAGAAGGUUAUGGCUGCAGCGAAUGAGAGCUGCAGAGUGAACUCGCUUUUACGGUUGCAGCUAAGUGGGGUGGGGGUAGGGGCAAGACCAGAUGGGGCUUCAGCCUAUGCAGGGAACAUUUUAAGUGAUCCAGAUUUGGGAGGGAGGGUUGAAAGGAAGCGAUUUGACCUCUCCAUGAUUGGACCAAGUGCACAUGUGGGAGUGUGGGAUCCCAGGCACCCACAGAGGGAGCUGUGCCCUUAGAGUCAGAAGGCAGAAGUGCCCUCACUUGUCAGAAGGCAGCUGAGGGUCCCCAGGUUCUGGGGAUUUGGGGAAGGAGGUGAGGACAAGUGUGUACAGGUGGAGGUGCACGCGCCCGCCAGGAGGUCCUCCUUAGACAAGGGAUUUCUGCAUCUGGCUGUUUACAAGUAUGAUUUCAUUUUUUCCAGAUUGGACCUCAUAUCCCAUAUUCCUUAUUUUCUAGAAAAUUCUUAGCCCAGGCUAGAUAUUUUAUGUGUAGUCCUGCCAAGACCCUCCACCAUCCCUCACCUGGUAGCCCAUGGGGAGCCCUCACCUCGAGAGGGUCUGUGUCCCCUCCUCCUCACCUGCCCAUCUGCCUGCCUCCCUCCAGGUUGCUGCCCUCAGAAGACUGACUAGGGCUCAGAAGAACGCAGGAGGAGCCAGACCCCUGGGCCACAGCACCAGCUCGGCCUCACUCCUGGUGGGCCCUGCCACCUGCCUCUGUGACACAGGCAAGCUGCUGUUUCACCUCCCUGGAGCUGCCUAGUUCGUGAUCACUCUCCGUUCCCAGGGAGCACAAUGCCCUGCAGCUCUCCAGGAUGCAAUUGAUGUUUUCUAGAUAUAGAGGGACUUUAUAAUGAAUGAAGUUCACAGAUUUGCUCUGAAGAGAUAAUGGAGAGUCAGCUCAACACACAAUCCUAAGUUUGCCCACCCUGACCUGAGAACAGUGCCAAAAAGUCGCUAUCCAACAUCUGCCUCAGCUGCCACCCGUGGAUUACUGGCCAUUCAACAUAAGAGCCAAUCUCAUGGCUCCAGAAAGCUUCUGAGGAGAGGGGACUGCACAGGGCUGAAUGGAAGCUUUCAGAAUGCCACCAUAUCAGAAGCUUGUCCUUUGCUGGCUGCUGGUGGGAAGUGAAGAGGAGGAAGUGGAUGGGCCUUACAGCUCUCGAGAUGCAGGAAUUAUCUCAGGCCUGAAUCACCUCUGCCAGGGGCCGAGGCUCUCUCAGGACCCCUCUGCAGACCCUCAUUUCUCAUCAGAGACACUCAUCCCCACAUGAGAAGGUAUCUCUUUGAGCCUUCCAGAGCCUGCAGCCACCACCAUCGCUGACAGUUGGGUCCUCUCCUCCUAAGCCCUGGAAGACUCAGAAGGGGAUUCCACACGUGGUCUUUGGAUUGGCAGAACUUUAUUCUGAUCCUGUCAAUAUGAAGAGCAGAGGGAAGCAUGGAGCACAGACACUCAUAUCACAUACCCAGUAAAG